rnacentral:tRNA from 1 species
GGGUCAGUAGCUCGAAUUGGCAGAGCACCGGACUCCAAAUCCGGGGGUUGCAGGUUCGAAUCCUGCCUGACCCGCCU